GAAGGUAUAGCUCAGCUGGUCAGAGCGCUUGCUUGACAUGCAAGAGGUCGUAGGUUCAAAUCCUACUAUCUUCACCA
rnacentral:tRNA from 2 species